UACGUAGGGUGCGAGCGUUGUCCGGAAUUACUGGGCGUAAAGCGUGCGCAGGCGGUUUUGUAAGUCAGAUGUGAAAUCCCCGGGCUUAACCUGGGAAAUGCGUUUGAAACUACAAGGCUAGAGUGUGACAGAGGGGGGUGGAAUUCCACGUGUAGCAGUGAAAUGCGUAGAGAUGUGGAGGAACACCGAUGGCGAAGGCAGCCCCCUGGGUUAACACUGACGCUCAGGCACGAAAGCGUGGGGAGCAAACAGG
rnacentral:rRNA from 1 species